CCUACGGGAGGCAGCAGUGAGGAAUAUUGCUCAAUGGGGGAAACCCUGAAGCAGCAACGCCGCGUGAAGGAUGAAGGUUUUCGGAGUUUAAACUUCUUUUGUUAGAGAAGAUAAUGACGGUACCUAACGAAUAAGCACCGGCUAACUACGUGCCAGCAGCCGCGGUAAUACGGAGGGUGCAAGCGUUACUCGGAAUCAAUGGGGGUAAAGAGGGCGUAGGCGGGUUAGAAAGUCAGAUGGGAAAUCCUAUGGCUUAACCAUAGAACUGCAUUUGAAACUGUUUUUCUAGAGUGUGGGAGAGGUAGGUGGAAUGCGUGGUGUAGGGGUGAAAUCCGUAGAGAUCAAGAGGAAUACUGAUUGCGAAGGCGACCUGCUGGAACAUAACUGACGCUGAUGCGCGAAAGCGUGGGGAGCAAACAGGAUUAGAUACCCGGGUAGUC
rnacentral:rRNA from 1 species